UCAGCUUGUUAGUGAGGUAAUGGCUCACCAAGGCGACGACGGGUAGCCGGCCUGAGAGGGCGACCGGCCACACUGGGACUGAGACACGGCCCAGACUCCUACGGGAGGCAGCAGUGGGGAAUAUUGCACAAUGGGCGAAAGCCUGAUGCAGCGACGCCGCGUGAGGGAUGACGGCCUUCGGGUUGUAAACCUCUUUCAGCAGGGAAGAAGCGAAAGUGACGGUACCUGCAGAAGAAGCGCCGGCUAACUACGUGCCAGCAGCCGCGGUAAUACGUAGGGCGCGAGCGUUGUCCGGAAUUAUUGGGCGUAAAGAGCUCGUAGGCGGCUUGUCACGUCGGUUGUGAAAGCCCGGGGCUUAACCCCGGGUCUGCAGUCGAUACGGGCAGGCUAGAGUUCGGUAGGGGAGAUCGGAAUUCCUGGUGUAGCGGUGAAAUGCGCAGAUAUCAGGAGGAACACCGGUGGCGAAGGCGGAUCUCUGGGCCGAUACUGACGCUGAGGAGCGAAAGCGUGGGGAGCGAACAGGAUUAGAUACCCUGGUAGUCCACGCCGUAAACGGUGGGCACUAGGUGUGGGCGACAUUCCACGUCGUCCGUGCCGCAGCUAACGCAUUAAGUGCCCCGCC
rnacentral:rRNA from 1 species